CUCCCUUUGUAGUGAACCUUGGUUUGGGGCUGAUGAUUUCAGGACCCACCUUCCCCGAGGCUCACUGGGCUUCUCCAUUUUCCAGGGGUGGGGGUGGUCAGAAGGCUGGAGGCGCCAUGGAACAGUUGCAUCUUGCCAAGCCCCUGUGAGGGGAAGAGGGCGUCUGUUGUGAUCAGACCUGGAGCUGUCCCCGUACCCGGAAGCGUCUCUCAGUGUUAGGCCCCAGCGUGCGUAGGAGUGGUGUGGUCAGUGGCCGUUCACAAACGGGGAAGGGGGUUGAGGAAGACUGAGGCUCCCAGGUGCAGUGAUUUGCCUGAGGUCAAAGAGCAAGUUGGUAGCAGAGGCCAGUUCCAGUUGGUUCCUAGUUGUGCCAUUCUCUAACCCUUGGACCCCACUGCCCUCCUGUGGUUGGGAACAGAACCCAGGAGUUCUGACCCUUUGCCUCACCCCCUGCUCUAACCCACUAGACCCCACUCUGUGCCCAGCGGUGAUGUUUGAAGUGUGGUAGCACCAUCCUAAGAUCAGUCCCAGGUACUGCACAGGUGCAGUGAGAGGCCGUCCCUGUGCCAGGAGCUUGCAGCCUGAAUAGACCAAGACUAGCAAAAGGUUGAGAAAAAGGAAGUGUCAGUCACUUUUUCCUGAUGGGGAAUUGAGGCACGGAAACAAUCCAGAGGUCCUGACUCCAGCCUCUCCCCUUUAGACCUCACCUCCUUCUCAGAGCUGGGGAAAGAACCCAGGCGUCCUGGCUCCCAACCCUUCCUGCUCUGACCACCAGACCUCCCUCUCAGAACUGGAGAGAAACCUCAGGGUCCUGACGCCUGUUUCUCCACCUUAGCUACAAAAUAACCCCUGAUGGCGUGGUGGAGGGUCAGAUCAGGGGAGCUUGAUUGAGACCCAUCCUCCCAAGCCUUUAACUGGCAUUAGGAGCUCUGCUGGCUUUUCCUGCCUUGACUGCAGUAGCCUAGCAGUGGUUCUGUGCAUUGUGGAGCUACCGUGAUCACUUUUCCGUUCAGAGCAGAAAAUUUGUGUGUGUAUGUGUGUGUGUGAGAGAGAGAGAGAGAGAGAGACAUCCCCUUGAUUCAGCAGUGUCUUGGCCUCUGGUUGAAGGAGCACCAUCAAAAUGCCUUUGAUUAAUCCGACGGGUGACGUUCUGUGAAUGGGAUAGAGAAAGUAUAUGGGGUGCUUCUGCAUAGGGUGUUGAUAUGGUUCUAAUUACUGUAGUAUCUGUGCACCUCACAUGUGAGUACAGUUACCUUCACAGCAUCUGUGUGGAAGGGGCAGUGCUGUUCUCCCUGCUUUAUUAGAGCCGUCCUAGGAGGAUUUUGGAGAUAUUAAAAAAAGUGCCGUCCCUAAAUGAGGGUGAGAAGUCAAACUCUUUACGCGCUGGUCAUCCGAAAACCGACCUGGUAGCAGGUCAGCUGGAAUGCUUAGCCUUUAUUUUGACCUUUUAAUUUUUCUUGUUACCUUUUCAGUAUAAAUUCCCUGGGAUGGUGAAAUGACAUGGUUUUGAACUAACAUGGAGCCGUUGAGAAAUGUCGUCUACAGUGCAGAUUUUAGCCCCUGAGCCAGCUGCCCUAGACUAGCUGCGGCUGAGCCACAUGUCUUUUAUUGCAGUGUAGAGACACCCUUAGGGAGCCUGGCGGGAGCUGAGAAUCAAACCCAGGUCAGCCAGGAGCAUGAGCCGCCCUCCGACCGAGGCAAGGAGGCAUCUCCCCUAUGGCAGGUGAUCUCAUCUCGACAGCCGUCUUGCACCUUCUCCAAAGCAGCUCCUGCUGGCAGCUGGCAGAAGAUCCUGGGCUAGAUGGACCUUGGGUCUGACCCAGUCCCUGUGGUUUAAAGACUCUCCAUGUAAUGAAGGUUGAUUACCCUCUCUCAUGGUUGAGCCGAUCCCUGGGCUGCCUUGCUAACCUGCCCUGUGAGCUCAGGUGUUCCUGGCUUCCUCCUUGUGACAGCCAAAAGAGAGAAGGUGAAGCUGAGAAGCUGAAGGGCUGGGACGAGGCCUGGACAGGUUGGAGUUUCCCCCCUAAGGCAGAGCAUGCUGGGAUUACUGUGCGGCGAAUGGUGACCUGGGCAUGAGCUGGAUAUUCCCCUCAGCACCCUGGGCGAUGGCUGGGGCCAGGGCCUGGUGGUACUUAAGAAAACAAAGUUAAGCAUUGGUGAUACAGGGCCGGCUCCUCGACUGGUGCAAAUCACCCUCGGUCCAUUGGAGUCAGUGGGGCCAGAUCCUCGGCUAGUGUAAUGCAGUUUUCAAGUCAAUACAGCCAUGCUGAUUCACGCUA